rnacentral:tRNA from 1 species
GGGUUGUUAGUAAAACAAUUACAUAACCUUGUCAAGGCUAAAUCGUAGGUGAAAUCCCUACACAUCCCA